UACGAAGGGGGCUAGCGUUGCUCGGAAUCACUGGGCGUAAAGCGCACGUAGGCGGAUCUUUAAGUCAGGGGUGAAAUUCUGGAGCUCAACUCCAGAACUGCCUUUGAUACUGGGGAUCUCGAGUCCGGAAGAGGUGAGUGGAACUCCGAGUGUAGAGGUGAAAUUCGUAGAUAUUCGGAAGAACACCAGUGGCGAAGGCGGCUCACUGGUCCGGUACUGACGCUGAGGUGCGAAAGCGUGGGGAGCAAACAGG
rnacentral:rRNA from 1 species